GACGAACGCUGGCGGCGUGCUUAACACAUGCAAGUCGAACGGUAAGGCCCUUCGGGGUACACGAGUGGCGAACGGGUGAGUAACACGUGGGUGAUCUGCCCUGCACUUCGGGAUAAGCCUGGGAAACUGGGUCUAAUACCGGAUAGGACUCCGGACUGCAUGGUCUGGGGAGGAAAGCUUUUGCGGUGUGGGAUGGGCCCGCGGCCUAUCAGCUUGUUGGUGGGGUGAUGGCCUGCCAAGGCGACGACGGGUAGCCGGCCUGAGAGGGUGACCGGCCACACUGGGACUGAGAUACGGCCCAGACUCCUCCGGGAGGCAGCAGUGGGGAAUAUUGCACAAUGGGCGCAAGCCUGAUGCAGCGACGCCGCGUGAGGGAUGACGGCCUUCGGGUUGUAAACCUCUUUCAGCAUCGACGAAGCGAAAGUGACGGUAGGUGCAGAAGAAGGACCGGCCAACUACGUGCCAGCCGCCGCCGUAA
rnacentral:rRNA from 1 species